UACCCCUGCAAAGGACUGUCUUUUUAUCU
rnacentral:piRNA from 1 species